rnacentral:ncRNA from 1 species
CAUGGCCUUUAUGCCCUGGGCCACACACACGCUACAAUGGACGGUACAACAGGUAGCUAAGGAGCGAUCCGGAGCUAAUCCUCUAAAGCCGCCCUCAGUACGGAUUGCAGGCUGAAACUCGCCUGCAUGAAGCUGGAGUUGCUAGUAACCGUGUAUCAGCAUGGCGCGGUGAAUACGUUCUCGGGCCUUGUACACACCGCCCGUCACGUCAUGAGAGUUGGCAACACCUGAAGUCGAUGGGCCAACCCUUCGGGGAGGCAGUCGCCGAGGGUGGGGUCAGCGAUUGGGACGAAGUCGUAACAAGGUAGCCGUAGCGGAAGCUGCGGCUGGAUCACCUCCUUU